rnacentral:lncRNA from 1 species
AGUGCCCAUCGUAUCGUAUCGUAUCGUUUCAAUUAGAUAUCGAAACGAUAUGUGCAGUCCCCGUAUAGAUAGUACAGCUUAAAACUUCAUAUUCUUUAUAUUUGUAAGUAAUUUUUUUUAAUAAAGUAUAAGAGAUUAAUUUGUAUAAGAUACACAAUAAGCAAUUAAAAUUCUCUGUUGCCAAAGAGAAUAAAUAUUUCAUACAAUUAUGUUCGGCACACAUAGUACCAUAUCAUUAUGUUCGGUAUUUUUGUGCCCGGUGUGUAGGGCACAUAUAGUACCAUAUCAUUUUGGACACGAUCUAGUGCCACGACACUAAGAUUCUUGUUAAUCGCCAUGGACGGUGUUACUUUUAGAAUCCGAAACUCUGUGAAAC